CACAAUUCUUCUUUGGGCGGCAAUACAUCGAAACCCUAGAUCAAAACACGCGUAGAUACUCCAUUUCUUCUCCUACAAUCUUCUUUCUUUUUUUUCCUUGAUAUUUUUCUUUUACUCUUCACCUCUUUCUUUGUUUCUCUCUGCAACUCUUCACCUCUUUCUUCCCUUUUUUUCCUUUCAUCAUUCAAUCAGAUUUAGAAACCCUAACAAUCAUCUUAUUCGCGAUUCAUCUUAUUCUCCGAUUCAUCUUAUCCUCCAAUCCAUCACCAUCUUCAAUUGAAUACCGGAAAUCAAAAUCGAUGAAGGAAUACGUGGGGCUGUGGUGGUGCAGAUCUGGUUGGAAAAACAUUUUCAGAUAUCGGAAUCAUGUUGGUGGUGGUUACAGGUGUUUUCUAUCGAUCUUUCUAUCUAUGAUUAUUCAACCCUAAAUCAUGGAAGCGAUUAUUCAACCCUAAAUCAUAACCAGAUGAUCUGGAUCAGGUAUGUAAGCGACUCUCCCAAUUGUGAAGAGUUUUUGUAUAAUGAUUAUUCAACCCUAAAUCAUAAUCAGUGACGAAUAGUCUUCUCUGCCAAUUUGAAGGGUAUCGUACAGAGAAAAUGUGAUGGAGCAUGACCGUAGCUUGCGGGGCUUAAUUACCAUGAGCUGUGAAUACGAAAUUACAGUAGAUUUGGUUAAUGGAACAACCCUCAAGAUAUUUCCUAUGAUCCGUUCAGAAGGGGCAACAAUAUAUGGGUUCAGGUUAAAAGUGUGCUUGCUCCUUGUGAGUAUGUUAAUGUGAGUUUGGGAGGUGACUCAAUGCAGCAAGAUCAUGAUACUGAAGCUGAUAGUGAGGCUGGCUGGAGCUAAAGAUUUACUAAUUUUGGUUAUCAAAACAACAACUGAACAAGAGGUUAAGUGGUAGAUGGGUGUUCGUGUUAAAUGGUCUAAGUCACACAAUAGGGAUCUGCAUGAAGUUGGACAGAGAAGAUAUAGUUUUGUGGCAUCUGAAUGUUCCUCUAUAUAGAAGAAAAGAUUUGGGAAAUGCUUAAGAGGGAACACUCACCAAAAGGUAUGUUAUUUAAAGAAUUUAAUAGGAUUACUUAUUUUUCUCUUUGUACACAUCUUUCUAGAAAAUGUUGGAUUUAUUAUUUCAUGGAAAUUGUGGUUUGGUUUAGUUCAUGUUUGUUUUCUUGUGAUUUUAUUUUCCAAACUUCAAAACUUGAAUAAGUAUUCUAAAAGGGUGCAUUCACCCAAACUUAAGGUUUUGGUAUAGUAAUGACCUAAGAACAUAUCUACUUUGCUUCGUAUUGUUAUGAAUCACAGUUUUUUAGUAGGUUAAUUUUUAUGUAAACAGUGCAAGUCUUGGUGAAGAUGUACUUAUAGUUGUGGAUCAUGUUUUAAGUUGUUUUUAUGGAUCAUAUUUUAAGUUCUUUUUGUUCUUGACAUAUGCAACUUGAUAGGUUUAAGUGCAAGUGAUGCUUAAGAAGAAAAAUUAGGUCGUUUAUAUCUGUAUAAUGCCAUUAAUUUCUGUUAAUAGAUGUAUAUUGGUUGUAGAUUGGAGGCUGCUGGCAUCUUCAGGUUAUCCUCUUUUGUUUUCACUUUAAACUUCAGCCAUCUUCAAUUUAUAUUCUUUUUUUUCCAGCCAUCAAAGUAACUCAAUGCAUUAACCCGAGAUAACAAAACGACUCUUGACCUAUCUGAAUUGCUUCACUUAUCUACUCUUCAGCUAUAAAAAUGGAGGUAUUUUGUUAACUAAAGUUUUUUAAUUAUAUUUUACCAUUUGAAUUUUAAAAAAUUACCCAUUCUCAUUUAGAGUGUAAAAUGAGUAUGACGUGGCCAUUUUUCUAUAAACAUUAACAGUUGACCAAGGAUCUUGCCAUUCCAAUUCCACGGACCCAAUUAAGUACUGCUAACACCAUCUUAAUAAAUUCAGUAUGGCCUUAAAUACAAUCCUUAGUUUUAAGAGUAUUGAUUUAUAUAUAGUGUUCAACAGCAACCUGAUCAAGAGAGCUUUUCGAGAUGCAACAAUAGAGAAAAAAGUAGAGAAACUUAAAAUUAGUAUGAUUGAGGAAGACCUAGAUGAGCUGGCCCAGAAAGUUAGAGCUUUCAACUUAUUAAUAAAAACCCUUAAAGCCAUAGAAAAUUAUUUAAGGUUAUUCACUUACUCACAUAGGUUACCCUGCUAAAAUAUGAUGUCAUAAUAGUAACUUUAACCCCAAUUGAGUUUUUUUUGAAGUGGCACCUUGAAACUGGUUUACCAUCAUUAAGUAAAUCGAAGUUUUUUGAACUUGGGGUUUUUUCCUAGAAAGAGUGGGGUACGUAAAAAUAGAAUUAUAUCUAAGUUGGAAACCUUUUUACGCAAUUUGGCCUUCCAAGAGCACUAUGUGUAUGACGAUGACAAUUUUUUUUUUUUACUGAUUUUGGUUGGAGAUAUGAAUGGAGUAAAAGUCUUGCGGCAUGAUCUGUUCACAAAUGAUGCUCUACUUUAGCUUUAGUCAACAAUUUAAAAUGGUAAUUUUUUUAGUAAUAGUGAUAUUAUCCUUGCUUGCAGAUGUGUUUUGUGUUGGCAUCACAUAAUAAACAUGGCUUAAAAAGGUACAAUAGAAGGACAAUCUCAUGCAUGUGGGACGCCUUGUGAUAAGUAUAACAUUGUAGGGUUUGUAAGAAAAUUUUCAAAGGUUAAUAUACGCAAUGAUAUUGGUAAUUUCUAUUGUUAUUUUUAGUUUAUAAAGCUGUAAUACAAACUUUUUGUAUACAAUGUGCUUGGCGAUAGCUAAAGACGGAAGAGAAUAAUAUUAAAGGGAAAGUCAACCACAUGAAGAAAGGAAAGAUAUAAGCUUUGUUCGAGAAUUUAGUGAAAAUGGUAUAGAUGAAGAUGUUUACAGUUUAAAAUUUGGUUUUUUAGCAAAUAAUGAAUAGAUAUGUAAGUGUAAUCCUUUUAGCUAUUUAAUAUCUCUUACUACUGUUGCAUGAUCUCAUAUUUUUUUACUCAAUAGUUUAUAAUUGUAACUUAGUUUCAAUUUUCUAACAUUUUCAUGUACUCUCUAAUAUUUUCGUUAAUAUUUCAAUGUAUAUAAAUUAUAAUUUUUUACUUCACAAUUUUAAAGGAUUUAGUUUAAUGCUGCUUUUUGACUAACCAUUCUAUAACAGUAAAAGGGAUUUAUAGCAAAUCAAGUGUUGGAGGGUAGCCAACCAGUUGAUAUCUCUAAGAACCCGUUUGAGUUGUUCUUACACUUAAAGGAUGAAUGCGAUAGUGGAGUUAAAGAAUACAUCAUGAAGGUUUAGUUGACAAAAACUUAAUUUGUAACGGACAUUAUGUAGAUGUACUAUUGUGACGUGUUCAAAUGUCUCAAAAUAUUAGGUUUAACAAAUCAC